rnacentral:rRNA from 1 species
UACGUAGGGUGCAAGCGUUGUCCGGAAUUAUUGGGCGUAAAGAGCUCGUAGGCGGUCUGUCGCGUCGGCUGUGAAAACUCGGGGCUCAACCCCGAGCCUGCAGUCGAUACGGGCAGACUAGAGUGCGUGUAGGGGAGACUGGAAUUCCUGGUGUAGCGGUGAAAUGCGCAGAUAUCAGGAGGAACACCGGUGGCGAAGGCGGGUCUCUGGGCAGUAACUGACGCUGAGGAGCGAAAGCGUGGGGAGCAAACAGG